GGGUCGGUGGCGUAGUUGGUUAUCGCAUCUGUCUAACAUAAUUUUUGCGAGGUGAUACACAAGGUCCUCAGUUCGAACCUGGGCCGACUCA